AGUAAAGGAGGUGACAUUUGCCAACUUCUAUUCAUGGAUGUUGAGGAAUCAAAUGUGAAGAUUAUCUGAAAACACUUGUCAACAGAAGACCGCCUCAAGGAAAAGGAAGAGUCAUAACUGUGCACCAGGCGUACUGGCUAUGUGACCUCAAUCAUGGCUUUCCUCCUCUUAAUCUCAACUCCUCCAUUUGUAAAUUAAGAGGAAAGAAAUUUGAACAGGAAGACAGAUAGACACAAGCAGACCAUCAUGUAAAGAUAAAGAUAGGAAUCAAGAGUGAUGCAUUUGCAAACUAAGAACACGGAAGAAUCCCAGUAAAUCACCAGAAGUUAGGAAAAAGUCAUGGAAUAGAUUCUGCCUCAGAGCCUCCAGAGGAAUCCAACCCUGCCAACACCUUCAUCUUGGAAUUCAAAUAGCUAG
rnacentral:lncRNA from 1 species